GGCUCUUGGCGGUGGAUCACUCGGCUCGUGAGUCGAUGAACGACGCAGCUAGCUGCGUGAUUUA
rnacentral:rRNA from 1 species